rnacentral:snRNA from 1 species
AUUAAGGAUAAUUUGGUCUUAACA